AGGCCAAGUCCCUGCCCGGCUCAAUUCAUUCAUUCCACUCAGAUAUGUUGGGCGCUGGAGACGCAGCGGCCAACCCGAGAGGCUCGAUCUCAGGCUUUUCCGGGAGCGUCCUGAAGUGCUGGCUGGCACGGGUUGCAGUGGGAACACUUAAUGUGCGGCCUUGGAGGAAGUGACCUCUAAGAUCAGGUUGAGAACGGGCUGGAUCAUCAACCCAGAAAGGGUCUGGCCUGAGAGGGAGAGCAGCCUCGGUACCCGAGGUUCCAGGCAAGGCUGGACAACCGUCUGCGGCCAGGAAGAAGAGCCAGAGCUUCUGGAAACCAAGCAAGCCGGCUUUCCCCAAGGACCUGACCUCUGUCCCAGGGACCCAUGAGUACUAGCAGUUUAGGCCUUCACUGUUGUCGGGCUUGCUUGGAGAAGGUAGGGGAGCUGAGCCUGGCUGGUGGGGCUUCACACCUGGACUCUCAGAGGUUAGCACCUAGGGAGGGACUUUAGGGAGAGCCUGGUUGGCCUGGCCUGUCCCCUCCCAAAAUGUCAUCGUAAUUAAGACCUACCUUUCCUGUCUUUCUGUCCAACACUGCAUCUCCUUAACAGCUCAGGGAAACUUGGCCAAUUUGGUUCAGUGUGGUUUGCUUCCUCCAAAGCAUAAGCCCUCAGGGGCAGAAAUAUUCCCUGCUCCCAGAAGGCCCUCAGGACUAGUAGCCACCUCUGUCUUGGUGGCAGAAGCCUGGGAGCCCAGUUACCCAGGAAGCAGAUGCAGGAGGUUGCCUGAUUCACUACCAGCUUAGACAACAUACUAGUACUCUCAGGGAAAGAGCAGAGAACAGAAGAGGAGGGAGGAAUGACCCAUGGCCGAAGCCAGAACCAGAGACAGCCUCUGCUUCUGCCCUGACACCAGCCCACACCAGAUGCAGGUCCCAGCUUGCUGGUGUGAAGGGCCCAUUUGCUACAGAAACUGAGCGGGGCAUGGACCCUGGAAGCUGGCACUCAAUUCAGAAUGGACACCAAGGAAAGGCCACAGAGAGAGGUCAGAGCUAGCCAGCCUAACCUGAGCCUCCUGCCCAGAGGGAAAACACGGACCAGUGAUCGGGCAGCAGGGUUAACAUUGCCUUACAGAGCUGUGAACCAGGCCUAUCACUCCUCACUCAGGAGGUGGAGGCAGGAGGUUCAGCAGCUCAAGGCCAGCCUUGACCACAUAGUGAAUUCAAGGAUAGCAUGAGUUAUAUGAGAUUUAAAAAAUAAAAGGAAA